AUACUCACCAGGCAGGGAGAAUAUCAUGAUCACAAAGGUGUUUUCCUCAGGGUGAGGUUUAUCUAUUGCAAUCCAGAUGUGUUGACCUCUGAGAUUCCUCCAAAUGUUAGAAAAUCAACUGCAUAAUUCGUUGUAGUGGAGGACAGUACUUGUACUCUCUCCUG
rnacentral:snRNA from 1 species